CGGACGGGUGAGUAAUGUCUGGGAAACUGCCCGAUGGAGGGGGAUAACUACUGGAAACGGUAGCUAAUACCGCAUAACGUCGCAAGACCAAAGAGGGGACCUUCGGGCCUCUUGCCAUCGGAUGCGCCCAGAUGGGAUUAGCUAGUAGGUGGGGUAACGGCUCACCUAGGCGACGAUCCCUAGCUGGUCUGAGAGGAUGACCAGCCACACUGGAACUGAGACACGGUCCAG
rnacentral:rRNA from 1 species